rnacentral:rRNA from 1 species
GCGGAAGGAUCAUUACCGAGUGUAGGGUUCCUAGCGAGCCCAACCUCCCACCCGUGUUUACUGUACCUUAGUUGCUUCGGCGGGCCCGCCAUUCAUGGCCGCCGGGGGCUCUCAGCCCCGGGCCCGCGCCCGCCGGAGACACCACGAACUCUGUCUGAUCUAGUGAAGUCUGAGUUGAUUGUAUCGCAAUCAGUUAAAACUUUCAACAAUGGAUCUCUUGGUUCCGGCAUCGAUGAAGAACGCAGCGAAAUGCGAUAACUAGUGUGAAUUGCAGAAUUCCGUGAAUCAUCGAGUCUUUGAACGCACAUUGCGCCCCCUGGUAUUCCGGGGGGCAUGCCUGUCCGAGCGUCAUUGCUGCCCAUCAAGCACGGCUUGUGUGUUGGGUCGUCGUCCCCUCUCCGGGGGGGACGGGCCCCAAAGGCAGCGGCGGCACCGCGUCCGAUCCUCGAGCGUAUGGGGCUUUGUCACCCGCUCUGUAGGCCCGGCCGGCGCUUGCCGAACGCAAAUCAAUCUUUUUCCAGGUUGACCUCGGAUCAGGUAGGGAUCCCCGCUGAACUUAAGCAUAUCAAUAAGCGGAGGAAGAUCAUUACCGAGUGUAGGGUUCCUAGCGAGCCCAACCUCCCACCCGUGUUUACUGUACCUUAGUUGCUUCGGCGGGCCGCCAUUCAUGGCCGCCGGGGGCUCUCAGCCCGGGGCCGCGCCCGCCGGAGCACACCACGAACUCUGUCUGAUCUAGUGAAAGUCUGAGUUGAUUGUAUCGCAAUCAGUUAAAAACUUUUCAACAAUGGAUCUCUUGGUUUCGCAUCAUGAAGAAAGCACAAAUGCAUAACUAGUGUGAAUUGCAGAAUUCUGAAAUCAUCAGUCUUUGAACCAUUGGCCUGGCUAUAUUCGGGGGAAUGCUGUUCCAGACUCUUAUUGCUCUACGACGACUCGGUGGUUGUGUGAACCCUCUCUUCGUGGGGGAAGAGGGCCACGAAGAGGGACGCGCGCUACUCAUAUCAGUAAUGAGGG